rnacentral:lncRNA from 1 species
AUGUGGCAUAAAUCAGUCGAGGGGGAUGAAAAAGAGGAGAAGGAGAUAAAAGCCGUCCGCGAGCUGUGGAAUACCAUCCUAGAGACUUUAAAAGCAAUGAAAGCGGAGCGGGAAGUAGCCUGUGCAGCUGCUCAAAUGUUGGGUCCGGGAGCAGCCGCCUUAAAACCUCAAGGCAAGCCUGGACCUAUUGCGUGGUUCUUCAAACUGCCCGCGGUAGAGGGAAUGACCGGGUCCACAUGUAAAACUGUUGCUGAAAUUCGAGCUAAUGAGACCCCUGACCCUCCUGAGGAGGGAAAAGAUUUACCGCUAAACCCCUUGCAAAACUCGGAAAAAGCGGAAGGAAGUGGUGCUAAGCCACUUCCUGAAAAGUAACGCACGUGCGGAAGUGCCUGCUCAGAAAACUCCAGCAGAGGAGGGGCCUGAAACACCUACUGAGCUCAUCGAUUUGGGGGGAGCAGCGUCUCGGCCUCCGCCCAGGGCACCUCCUCCCGCACCUCCACCUGCCCUGUAUCCACCGCUACCGCCUCCAGCGACUCGUCUGGUCUGUCAACUCCGCCUCCCAACAAGAGUCGUAAACUGUCCUCAAACACCACAGAAAAAAAAAUGUUACAGACAGUUUUAAGGCGGCUCGAGGAGUUAGACUGACGUGUGGGGAGGAAGGAUGGUAACACGCCUUCAUGGCUAGUGAAUCCCUCAACACCUCCGAGGACUACACGCUGGAGUGUCGUUAUUAAAGACGCUAUAUUAGAAGAUCGUGGUCCAGCGUGGGUGCCCAGUAGAGCCGUAAAACCUGCUCUGACUCAACAUGAUCCACCUAAUAACCAAGAUCCUGACCCUAGGGAUAUUGAUCCCGGCGGUAAUGAACCCAGGGAAAAUAUGUGGGUUACCUGGGCAAACAAAACAGGACAACAAGCUUUUUGUCUAUCGCUUGCCUCUGCUAUAGAGCCUUUUCAUACAUGUUUAAUAGAAGUACCUGGCUUUAAGGUAGAAGAAUUUAGCAACUAUAGUGUGUACUAUUAGCUCAAGGUCAUGGUUGCGAGGAUUUUGAGGGCACGUGCUGUAUAAACUUGUCCCAUCACAGCGAAUCAAUUCACAAACAGUUGCAGUGGUUAAAACAAAAUGCCGACAAAAUUCAUCAAAAGCAUGGGUUUUUAGAUGGGUGGCUGACUAACUUGUUUGGGAAUAUGCCGCAAUGGUUAGUAGACUUGCUUGUUGAAGGCUUGCGCAUUAUAUUAAUCCUUGUGAUAAUAAACCUUGUGAUAGGUCUGUGCUUAUGUUUAGU